rnacentral:lncRNA from 1 species
UUUUUUUUUUUUAAUGAGUAAGUGAGUUUUUAUUUUGAGAAAAAAAGAACUUCAAAAAUACAGAAGGAAUAAAUGAUAGCUGGCGAUCUUCUCUAGAGGUGGACACGGUGAGAAAGGGAACCGGCAUUCUCUUUGCAUCUCCACGUAAGAAGGAGGCAGGAAGAGCUGCCAAGGGGAAGAGAAUCUUCCAUAGCAAGAAUUUCUUUCUCACUGAAUCACACUCAGGUUGUAACAGCGUCCAAGUCACCUUUGGCCAGAUUGCAAAUGGGGAGGAGGAGUCUCAUGAGCGGUGGGAUCCAGUUGGCUACCUGGGCACCUAGGACCUGUCAUAAUCUGGAUGGGACUUCUGUUCUCAACUCCAACACAGCUUCAUGCAUAAUCCAAUCAGAAAAUUCUAGAGAGUCAAACAAGUGAAUCUAAACACCGUAUAAUAAAAUCUUCAGCUUUUUUGUUCACAUAAAGGAAAUCAGGAACAGUUAAUUCAGGACAAGAAUUUUAUUUUGGACAAAGCGACCAAACCAUAUUUCCCUCUAAUGAAGUUGAUUCAUUGAAACAGACAUUCACUGAGCCCCAAUGUGGCCACAUAAUCUUCAAAACAAUGCUCUGAGGUCGGGGCUCGUUUCUUCAUAUCCUGGCAAAAAGUACAGUUACACUUUGGAAGGAUCAUCAACUUGCCAAGAGUCACCGAAAAUGGGAAGAUCUGAGUUUCACCCAAGACAUGUAUCUGGCAAGUGGCAGGGUGGGCAGUUGAACCCGGGCCUGCCUGCCUCCCAAGCCUUCAGCUGCUGCGAGCCGUGACUGGGCAGGGCUCUGGGCAGCCUGUGUCCCCGGGACACCGGCGUGAAUCUCAAGCCCAUCUGUGAGCUGCCUCGCUGAGCACCCACCUUCUCAAGGACAUAAUCCCCCAGGGAAGUCUGUUCCCAGCCAUGCGUGCGACUCUGAUUCCCUGGCAGUUUUCGUAGCCAGCCUUCCAUCUGCUCAAAACUAUUGCCCUGUCCUGGAAAGUCAUUCUACUCAGCUUUCUGGGUUCUAGUCCUCCGCUCAUUCUAGAGGAGUUAAAGUAUCACUUCUUCAACAUUCAUGCGGCAAAUGUCUAUUCAGCAAUUACGAUAUGCUGGGUAGACUCUAGAGCCCAAGACUGAACGAGCCUGGGAUAGAUGCACUUGGAGGCAGAUCAGACUCUCACCAGUCCACUGAGUGGUUAUUUUUUUGAUUUUGAUUUUUUUCUUUUACUAGGACUCCAUUUCUCCAUCAGGAAAAUAGGGGUGGUUGGACCAGAUGAAUUCUAAGCUCCUUUCUGGCACCAAUGAGCCAGACUUCAGUUAAAAGUUAUAUCCUGAAGCUAAAACUAUAUUUUAUAGUUUGCUCAGAAAGACCCCCUUCCCCUGCAAAGAACUUCAGAAGAGGUUCAGAUUAGAUCUGAACCCCUUUUCCUGUCCCCCUCACCCCGUACCUCUCCCAACCCCGAGAAUUUUGACAAAGGCCAUGCAAACUUACAGCUUUCAACUUUUUCUGAGAUUUCGGCUUUUUCUUCUAAGGUGGGCAGACAUCUGUUUUCAGAGUAGUUCAGGAUUCAUAACCAUAUAUUAAACAAUUGCUCUUCUCUUAAACAACUCUGAAAACCUUAGGGGAAACACAUGUUAUGUUUCCACAGUAUUCCCUUAUUAUUAAGCAAUCAAUGCUGAGCGUGUAACUUUUCAUUAACAUCAGCUCUCUCCCUAAAAUCACCGUGUCAUCUCAUUGGGGUAAACCCAAAGCAGACCAGUAAAAUGUGGUUUAAAAACAAAUACGCCCACUUGCAGUUCAUUAACUUAAUUUUAGCACAAUUUAUAAAAUUGUGAUUUUUAAGUCCUUUGCAGUCUUCCCUUAUUAGAAUGAAUGUGUCUUUUACUAGCUUUACUUUUUAACAGAUGCUAACUUGCACGAUACAGGCUACUAUAAAAUGUACCUGCAUUGGAGAAAUGUCCAUCUAUCAAUGUAGACUCUCGUAAAGAAUUGGAGGCGUUAGAUGAAUUGUUUCCAUUAAGCUGAAAAUACUCCUUCGGGUGUGAGCUUCUAAUUCAUGAGUUGCUGUAAACUGAUUCAAAUAAUAAGGAGGCUUUUUUUUUUUUCUUUUUCUUCUUGGCCUGAUAAUAAUCUGGUGGAGAACAUGCUGAAUCCCUAAAGAAGAUAUCAUCUAAUGAUUUCUACAAUUGUCCUGAAGUCCAAACAAAGCUGUUGUAUUAAACUGUGGUUUUGUAAGCUAUCAUUUUUGUCCAGCUAUUUUUUU